GACGAACGCUGGCGGCGUGCCUAAUACAUGCAAGUCGAACGCACUUUCGUUAGAUUGAAGAAGCUUGCUUCUGAUUGAUAACAUUUGAGUGAGUGGCGGACGGGUGAGUAACACGUGGGUAACCUGCCCUAAAGUGGGGAUAACAUUUGGAAACAGAUGCUAAUACCGCAUAAAACCUAGCAACCGCAUGGUGCAAGGUUGAAAGAUGGUUUCGGCUAUCACUUUAGGAUGGACCCGCGGUGCAUUAGUUAGUUGGUGAGGUAAAGGCUCACCAAGACCGUGAAUGCAUAGCCGACCUGAGAGGGUAAUCGGCCACACUGGGACUGAGACACGGCCCAGACUCCUACGGGAGGCAGCAGUAGGGAAUCUUCCACAAUGGACGAAAGUCUGAUGGAGCAACGCCGCGUGAGUGAAGAAGGUUUCGGAUCGUAAAACUCUGUUGUUGGAGAAGAACGUAUUUGAUAGUAACUGAUCAGGUAGUGACGGUAUCCAACCAGAAAGCC
rnacentral:rRNA from 1 species